UACAGAGGGUGCGAGCGUUGUCCGGAUUUAUUGGGCGUAAAGAGCUCGUAGGCGGCUUGUCGCGUCGUCCGUGAAAACUUGGGGCUCAACUCCAAGCUUGCGGUCGAUACGGGCAGGCUCGAGUUCGGUAGGGGAGACUGGAAUUCCUGGUGUAGCGGUGAAAUGCGCAGAUAUCAGGAGGAACACCGGUGGCGAAGGCGGGUCUCUGGGCCGGAACUGACGCUAAGGAGCGAAAGCGUGGGGAGCGAACAGG
rnacentral:rRNA from 1 species